UAUAAGGAAGGUGUCAGAAAAUAUCUGGGGCUUUCUCUCACCUUUUAUUAGACUGCCUUUGUCUUACCUUUUGCAUAAUAUGCAGAUUCUCAUGCGGCUGAUUUUCCCACAGGUGAGGAUGAGGACCAAUCCUCAGAGGUUGGAGGCUGGAUUCAAUUCAUGCUUGGGAUUACACUUUCCCCAAGAGGCUGAGUUGUGUCCCCUCAGAAUUCAUAUAUUGAAGCCCUGACCCCCAGGACCCCAGAAUGUGACUGUAUUUGGAGACAGAACCUUUACAGGGGUAAUUAAGCUAAAAGGAGGCCUUUCGGGUGGGGCUUAAUCCAAUCUGGGAUCAAAACAGUGGUUUUGGCAAAAAACAAACAAACAAACAAACAAACAAAAAAAAAAACCAGACACAUCUUAUCAG